UAUAGCUACAGCCAGUGCUCAUCUGCCGGCAGCGGAGACCAAGACUGAAUCUCCAAUAUAGCACCAUCCCAAGGGAGUCAGCCUGCUAUCUGGUGAUGAGCUGAUUAUACUGAACCACUUCAUCAUAGAUGGGUAAGCACAUGCAUCCUAUGGCAAACAAACAGUGCAAGCUCCUAGGACAGGGAAGAGGAAGCCACUGUCUCCAAACGAAGACCACGGAACACCCUUAAACACAAAAUAUUCUUUUAUUUGUCAACGAAGGCUACACGGGAUCACUUCUGGUUUUGUUUUUAUGCCUUUUUUUUUCUUUUUCUAGAAGGUAUCUACAUCUGCAUUUAUUUACAGCCUUGUUGGUAUUUACACAGUCAAGAAUACAGUGUUAGAAACAUAAAAGUGUUUGAGAAAAAAAACUUCUCAAAAUUAGUUCCAGACUUCAGGAAAACUAUUUCCACAUGGUAAGGCCAGAGUCUCCAGUGUUGGUCAUCCAGAGGCAGCUUGAUACCAAGUCCUUCCACCGAAGCUGCAGGUUCAGAAGUCCUCAGAACAGGCAGAUUUAGGAAAGUGGGAUUCUGGUGCCGGGUGACGCCGGGGCCGCUGGGGCACCGCCCGACACCUGCAACUCAGCUUCUGCCGGGGUCGCUGAGCCUGCUCCAGUGCCAGUCCUCCCAUGGCAGUCUGCUCUCCGAAUGCAUCCCAUUUUCUUGGCGACCAGGAGGUCGCCCAGCAUCGUGCCUUUGGCAUUCCAGAGGGGGUAAGAACCACCACGAUGGCUCCCCCCAGUUCCCCACACUCAGAUCUUCCACAUUCACAACGAAACCUGCGACUCACCACUGUCUGGGGUAGUCAACUACACAAGGCUGGUUUUCGAGAAUGUAAAGGUUGGAGGAGAUAAAGUUUCUCUCCGUCACCUGAGCAAUGAGUCUUUAAAAUGAGUUGCUGUUUUUGAAAGGUUCAAUGAAAGGGCCUCGAACCAGAGUUCUUUUUCCAAUCCCUUUCCCCCCCAAUAAAAUGUAGACAAGCAUGUAAACCUAGCUGGGAGUUAAGUGGCUCAAAUGGAGGGCUUUGAGUCCCAGUGAGGACCCCAAGGGAAAGGAGAGCCUGCAUUCUUUACUGGGGCCCCUUAGGUGGCGGGUCCCCUGACUAAGACCAGGAGCUACCUCCUGGGUUCAGUGGCUGCCUUGAGGAAGGGGAAAUAGAUUUGACGUUGAGCGUUAAGUGAUGAAACCCCAAAGCCAGGAUCCCUGCAAAAGCAGCUCAUUCCUCCUGACACAAAAAGCACCCCUGCCCUCACCGCGUGGUUGUGGAUGGAGAGACUGCACUCUGAUUUCACAUCAAAAGCCUUGUCUUUGCAUAAUAGAAAUCUCUGCCAUCUACAAAGGUGACACUUAAAAGUCACAGCUGAAAGGUCCUUCAUUUUUUUUUUUAACUUCUGAUCCCUGCUCUGUGUCCAUAAAACACGGCCCCAUUUUCCUCACCUUCCUUACCUCACUAUCAUCUUUGCUUCCAGCCCCACCCUACCCUGACAAUCCGAAAGCACACUGUUGGCCAUGCAUACCCCUUCGCAGUUUCUUAGGGACUGUUUCAAAUCUCCCAUCUCUAGAUAGAAGCCAGGCAUUGGUAUGGUUCUGGGGUUAUUCUUGGCCAACUGUUCUGAGAUCAGAGACUGAGCAGGGUGUUACCUACCAUGGAGGUCUUCUCCCUCCCAUGGGUCGUAGGGCUACCCUUCCGUGGUGGGUAAAAAGGAAACCUUGCCUAUAAAAAACGAAUUUGGGGAAUGAACAAAAGCCUUUUAAAGUAGUGGCAGAGGGACUGAGGGGCCAGCUGGAGCCAUGGAGGGUAAGAAAGAAGACAGGAACUGUUUUAAGACAAACCUCCUAGGGUUGGAAGCCGACAUUCUGCAGAAUCAGAAGCCUGGGCCAGUGAGGAGGGUUAGGGUUAGGGGCUGCCUAACUCUAACAAACGGGCAGGUUUGGGUGUGCUCAUGCCAGAAGGGCAGCGCCAUUGAGGGUGGGAUUCCAUGCUUGGAGCCCAUACGGAGGUACAGGGAAGGCCGGCCUGUGUCUCCCCCUUGCCGUGGGUUUGGGAUUGCUGGUCUCAACAGCGGAACUAAGAGGGAUGCACCUCCCAGCCCAGACGGAACCCAACUCCCAAGGCCAAGGCCAGAAGCACGAGCUUCAGUACAGCAGCACCGAGGUGAGACUGAGGUGCGGGGAUGCCACCAGUACCACCGCGGAGACCCCUGCUCUGAAAGUCUCUCGCCCGGAGGAAGCUGGGCCUUCUCAGUGGUAGGUAGCCCAAGAAAAAGCCAUGCCCAUUCUCCCCCUAUGGGCCUUAAAAGUUCAUACUAUUUCUCUGGGGAUGGGGCUGUGGAGGUGCAAGGGGAGGCUCCCUUGGGCCACAUGCCAUCUCUGACCUCCGAGGAGGUGUCCCCAGCAGGUUAGGGCUGACUUCAGACACCAGGACAGGACCGAUUAACCAGGCCAAUGGGUGGGAGCACUUUGCCCAAGGGCCCCUUAGAUCAAAAGUAUAUUUCGAGGGGCACAAAUCUCUUUGGAGGAAAAAAACCCAAAAAACAAACAUUUCUGAUUUUCAGGCUUAACUGUUUUCCAUCCUUUCCAAGAAUGAUCCUGCCUGAUGGGGAUCCCUGGCCAGCUUGUGCCAAGCACAGGGGGCAUGAGGAGCACUGGGCCUAACUCAGCGGAGCUCUGGGUUCAGAGGCGACGGGCAACCAUGGACAAACAGGCCGAGGCACACUGUUGCGAAGUGUGACUUUUUUUUUUUUUUUUU